rnacentral:siRNA from 1 species
GGGAUUGGCUGCUGACAUCUUCA